rnacentral:rRNA from 1 species
AGAGUUUGAUCAUGGCUCAGAACGAACGCUGGCGGCGUGCUUAACACAUGCAAGUCGCACGAGAACGCUUCAGCUUGCUGAAGCUAGUAAAGUGGCGUACGGGUGAGUAACGCGUGGGUAAUCUACCUCCGAAUUGGGGAUAACAUUGCGAAAGCGAUGCUAAUACCGGAUAAUAUCCCUCGGCCUUCGGUCUUUGGGAUCAAAGGUGGCCUCUACAUGUAAGCUACUGUUUGGAGAUGAGCCCGCGUACCAUUAGCUCGUUGGUAGGGUAACGGCCUACCAAGGCUACGAUGGUUAGCUGGUCUGAGAGGAUGAUCAGCCACACUGGAACUGACACACGGUCCAGACUCCUACGGGAGGCAGCAGUGAGGAAUUUUGCGCAAUGGGGGAAACCCUGACGCAGCAACGCCGCGUGAGUGAUGAAGGCUUUCGGGUCGUAAAGCUCUGUCAAGUGGGAAGAACCCGCGCCGAACAAAUAGUUCGGUGCGCUGACGGUACCACUGAAGGAAGCACCGGCUAACUCCGUGCCAGCAGCCGCGGUAAUACGGGGGGUGCAAGCGUUAUUCGGAUUCAUUGGGCGUAAAGAGCGCGUAGGCGGUCUUUUAUGUCAGGCGUGAAAGCCCGGGGCUCAACCUCGGAAGUGCACUUGAAACUGAAAGACUUGAGUAUGGGAGAGGGAAGUGGAAUUCCUGGUGUAGCGGUGAAAUGCGUAGAUAUCAGGAGGAACACCGGUGGCGAAGGC